rnacentral:rRNA from 1 species
UGCCUGGUGAUAUAGCCUGGAGGAAAGGUGAGGAAUUGAACGUCAAAGUCAUCUAUGCUCCUCUUAAUGCCCUGGGCGAACUAACAACGUGCUAUCAAUGGCACGGGACAAAGGGUCGCGAGAUCCUCGCGAAGGGUGAGCUAACCCCAAAAACCCGUCCUCAGUUCG